AUUGAACGCUGGCGGUAUGCUUAACACAUGCAAGUCGAACGGUAACAGGCCUUCGGGCGCUGACGAGUGGCGGACGGGUGAGUAACGCGUAGGAACCUGCCUCAUAGUGGGGGACAACGUGUGGAAACGCACGCUAAUACCGCAUACGCCCUGCGGGGGAAAGCGGGGGACCUUCGGGCCUCGCGCUAUGAGAUGAGCCUGCGUUAGAUUAGCUAGUUGGUAGGGUAAAGGCCUACCAAGGCGACGAUCUAUAGCUGGUCUGAGAGGACGAUCAGCCACACUGGGACUGAGACACGGCCCAGACUCCUACGGGAGGCAGCAGUGGGGAAUAUUGGACAAUGGGCGCAAGCCUGAUCCAGCAAUACCGCGUGUGUGAAGAAGGCCCUAGGGUUGUAAAGCACUUUCAAUAGGGAGGAAAACCUGUCGGUCAAUACCCGGCAGCUUGACAUUACCUAUACAAGAAGCACCGGCUAACUACGUGCCAGCCGCCGCGGUAAUAC
rnacentral:rRNA from 1 species